GCAGGGGUAGAGGACCAAGGGCGAGAGCCACCUCCUCCGCAAUCCCCCGCCCCUCGGCGCCGACGCUCCGCGCUCCUGCCGGCGCCCCAUUGGCCGAGGCGCUCGCCAAUCCUGGUGAAGCGGCCCUGUGAGUGGGCCCUGGUUGGUGGAGCCGGCGCUGAGCCUCCCUCCGGCUCCGGCCGGGCCCCCUGCCGGGAGGGGGCGUGGCCGCGGCCGUGGUCCGGCCGGAGGCGGCGUCGCUCGCGCCGCUGCGUGCGGUGUGGUGCGGGAGGGGGCGCCGAGCGGCCGCGGUACGGCGGGACCAUGGAGCUCGGAACGCAGUCCCGGCGCCGGCGGCGGGACCGCGGAGCGCAGGGCCAUCCAGAGAGUCCUGGGUGCAGUCAGGAGAGUAACUGCCUCUGAAGUGAAGUGCACGCCACCAUUAUUCCUGAGGUGAUCCCAUCAAUCAGAGGAUCCGGUGCAGGCAGAGUGAGACCUGGGUGACCCGGCACCCAGGGAUACUUCUCUGUGUUUCCAAGUAAGGUGUUCACUUGGGCAAAUUACUUCGGGAAAAAUUUUGUUUCCUCUGCAUCAACUAGAGCUUGCUCUGCAGCUGUUCCUAAGGCAGAGCAGAAAACUCUGUGUGCUUUCCAUUUAAAUGAGCAAAAUGGGACAUGUGUGAAAGUCUAAAAGAAGCUUUUUAGACUUUCCACUGGGUGAUGGCGGUCUUAACCGUGUAGGCUGUCAGAAUCUGCUGACCUGCAUGUAGCUCUUAGGGGUUGAGACCCAACAUUGCCUUUCCUUCGUACUGAAAUCGCACCGUUUCUACAUUCCUGUGUCUGGACCCCUCUUCACGAGGCUGUAGGCACACCUGCCCGCUGCUGGGCAGCCAGACUCUACUUUCUUGUGCCCACCUUGUUGUAUUCUGAUUACCUGCAUGGAGCUGCUCCCACCCAGGCUGAACGGUGUCUUCUCCCUCAUUUCGCAUGUUUGAAGGAGGACUAACUCACAAGACCUUUGGUGCUGAACGCAUGAAUGCCCAUUCACGGAAUUUUUCUUGCCCAUUCUUCCCAAGUAAACCAUAACUCUGAAUAGGGAACUAUAUCAUACAUUUUGUCACCUCAAAACUAUAGCACAUUGGUAAACAAUAUUUAUCAGAUUGUUGUCUAGUCUUGCUGUGAAUAUCCAGUAUCUGGAAACAUUUUAGAGGUCUUUUGGGCAGUAUCAAGUUUUUGCUACUGUUUUUUUCCCCACUGGUACUGUUAAAAUAUUUAUAAAAUUAUCAAGAUUUGUAUUGAAUUUAAAUAUUGCUGUGGGAAAAAUUAAUAGAAAACUCUUAUUAGGUACAGUUUUUAUGGGAAUGAUUAUAUUAUUCAGGUCAUUGUGUGGACACGAACAAAAUGUUCAGUGUAUGUAUUGUUGUUGAGUAAAUGAAGUGAGUAGCUCAGUUGAAUAUACCUAUAAUAUACUUGACUUUUUGUUUUUCUGCUCUUUGGUUGUUAUUUACUGAGUUGUUGCAGUUAAUUUCAGAAGUGAUUCCAGGAUAAGUAGUUAGAAUUAUGUAGGAAUUCACAUACCUCAUUAGCUCCUUGUUUGAGCUAACUAAAAAAGGACUAGUUCUGGGAUUAGAGCUCUACCAAUAAAUUUGUUCAAAUGUGAAAAUUAAAUGGAAGA
rnacentral:lncRNA from 1 species